rnacentral:tRNA from 1 species
GUCGGAGUAGAGCAGAGCAGUAGCUCGCGUGGCCCAUAACCACGAGGUUGCAGGUUCGAAUCCUGUCUCCGCA